rnacentral:rRNA from 1 species
UGGGUGACCUGCCCUCAGCUCUGGGAUAAACCCGGGAAACUGGGUCUAAUACCGGAUAUGACUCCUCAUCGCAUGGUGGGGGGUGGAAAGCUUUAUUGUGGUUUUGGAUGGACUCGCGGCCUAUCAGCUUGUUGGUGAGGUAAUGGCUUACCAAGGCGACGACGGGUAGCCGGCCUGAGAGGGUGACCGGCCACACUGGGACUGAGACACGGCCCAGACUCCGUACGGGAGGCAG